rnacentral:lncRNA from 1 species
CUCAUUUCAUCUCAUCAUUUUUCAUAUCAUUUUUCAUCUCAUCAUUUCAUCUCAAUUCAUUUCAUCUCAUCAUUUCAUCUCAUCUCAUCAUUUCCUCCUUUCAACAUUUCAUCUCAUCAUUUCUUCUCAUCUCAUUUCAAUUUCAUUUCAUUAUUUCAUUUCAUCUCAUUUCAUUAUUUCACCUAGUCUCAUUAUUUCAUCUCAUCUCAUCUCAAUUCAUCUCAUCUCAUUUCAUCUCAUCAUUUCAUCUCAUCAUUUUUCAUCUCAUUUAAUCUCAUUUCAUUUCAUUUUGUCUCAUCAUUUCAGCUCAUCAUUUCAUCUCACCGCAUCUCUUCAUUUCAUCAUUUCAUUUCAACAUUUCAUCAUUUCAUCUCAUCUCAUCUUUCAAUUUCAUUUCAAUAUCAUUUCAUCAUUUCAUCUCAUUUCAAUUCAUCUCAUCAUUUCAUCUCAUCAUUUUUAUCUCAUCAUUUCAUCUCAUCAUAUCUCAUUUCAUCAUUUCAUCUCAUUUCUUCUCAUCAUUUCAUCUCAUCAGUUUAACUCAUUUCGUCUCAUCUCAAUUUCAUUAUUUCAUUUCAUUUCACUUUAUUUCAUUUCAUCUCAUCUCAUCAUUUCAUCUCAUCUUACCUCAUUUCAUCUCAUUUCUUCUCAUCUCAUCAUUUCAUCAUUUCAUCUCAUUUCAUCUCAUCUCACCUCAUCUCAUUUCAUCAUUUCAUCUCAUCCUUUCAUUUCAUCUCAUCAUUUCAUCUCCUUUCAUCUCAUCUCACCUCAGCAUUUCAUCAUUUCAUCUCAUCAUUUCUUAUUUCAUCUCAUUUUAUCUCAUCAUUUCAUCUCAUCUCAUCUCAAUUCAAUUUCCUUCAUUAUUUCAUUUCAUCUCAUUCAUUUCAUCUCAUUUCAUUACAUCUCAUCAUUACAUCUCAUCUCAUCUCAUCAUUUCAUCAUUUCAUCUCAUCAUUGCAUCUCAUCAUUCAUCUCAUCAUUUCAUCUCAUCUCAUCAUUUCCAUUUCAUUUCCAUUUCAUUAUUUCAUUUCAUCAUUUAAUUUCAUCAUCUCAUUUAAUUUCACCUCAUUUCAUUAUUUCAUUUCAUUAUGUCAUUUCAUUUCAUCUCAUUACAUUUCAUCUAAUUUCAUUUCAUCUAAUUUCAUCUCAUCAUCUCAUUUCAUCUCAUCUUUUCAUCUCAUCAUUUCAUCUCAUCAUCUCAUCAACUCAUUUCAUCUUAUCAUUUCAUCAUUUCAUCUCAUCAUUUCAUCUGAUCUCGUAUCUUCUCAUCUCAUUUCAAUUUCAUUUCAUUAUUUCAUUUCAUUAUUUCAUGUCAUGUCAUCUCAUCAUUUCAUCUCAUCACAUCUCAUCAUUUCAUCAUUUUAUUUCAUUUCAUCUUAUUUCAUCUCAUCUCAAUUUUAUUUCAAUUUCAUUUUAUUUCAUUAUUUCAUAUCAUUUCAUCUCAUUAUUUCAUUAUUUCAUUUCAUUUCAUCUCAUCAGUUCAUCUCAUCAUUUCAUCUCAUCAUCUCCUCUUAUCUAUUUCAUCUCAUCAUUCAUCUCAUCAUUUCAUAUCAUCAUUUUAUCUCACCAUUUCAUUUCAUCUCAUCUCAUCAUUUCAUCUCAUUUCUUUAUCUCACCAUUUCAUUUCAUCUCAUCUCAUCAUUUCAUCUCAUUUCAUUCAUUACAUCUUAUUUCACCUCAUUUUAUGUCAUUUCAUGUCAUCAUUUCAUCACAUCUCGUCUCAUCUCAUCUUUUCAUCUCACCAUUUCAUCUCAUCAUUUCAACUCAUUGCAUCUCAUCUCAUCAUUUCCAUUUCAUUAUUCCAUUUCAUCAUUUCAUUUAUUUCAUUUCAUUAUGUCAUUUCAUCUCAUCACAUUUCAUCUCAUCUCAUUUCAUCUCAUCAUUUCAUCUCAUCAUUUCAUCUCAUUAUUUCAUCUGAUUUCAUGUCAUCAUUUCAUCUCAUUUCAUCACAUCUCAUCUCAUCAUUUAAUCUCAUUUCAUCUCAUCAUUUCAUCUCAUCUCAUCAUUUCAUCAUUUCAUCUCAUCAUUUCUUCUCAUCUCAUCAUUGCCAUUUCAUUAUUUCAUCAUUACAUUUCAUAAUUUCCUUUCAUUAUUUGAUUUCAUCUCAUUUCAUUAUUUCAUCUCAUUUUUCAUCUCAUUUCAUCAUUUCGUCUUAUCAUCUCAUCUUAUUUCAUUGUUUCAUCUUAUCGUUCAUCUCAUUUCAUCUCAUCAUUUUAUCUCAUAUCAUCUCAUCUCAUCUCAAUUUCAUUAUUUCAUAUCAUUUCAUUUCAUUA